UCCGUAGGCGGUGCGGCAAGUCGGAAGUGAAAUCUCAGGGCUUAACCCUGAGGCUGCUUCCGAAACUGCCGUGCUCGAGUGCGAGAGAGGCGAGUGGAAUUGCAGGUGUAGCGGUGAAAUGCGUAGAUAUCUGCAGGAACAUCCGAGGCGAAAGCGGCUCGCUGGAUCGCAACUGACGCUGAGGGACGAAAGCUAGGGGAGCAAACAGGAUUAGAUACCCUGGUAGUCCUAGCCCUAAACGAUCAGGACUGGGCGUGGGCCUCGUGCGGGGCUCGUGCCGCAGCUAACGCGUUAAGUCCUGCGCCUGGGGAGUACGGUCGCAAGGCUGAA
rnacentral:rRNA from 1 species